rnacentral:rRNA from 1 species
GACGAACGCUGGCGGCGUGCUUAACACAUGCAAGUCGAACGGAAAGGCCCUGCUUUUGUGGGGUGCUCGAGUGGCGAACGGGUGAGUAACACGUGAGUAACCUGCCCUUGACUUUGGGAUAACUUCAGGAAACUGGGGCUAAUACCGGAUAGGAGCUCCUGCUGCAUGGUGGGGGUUGGAAAGAUUCGGCGGUUGGGGAUGGACUCGCGGCUUAUCAGCUUGUUGGUGGGGUAGUGGCUUACCAAGGCUUUGACGGGUAGCCGGCCUGAGAGGGUGACCGGCCACAUUGGGACUGAGAUACGGCCCAGACGCCUACGGGAGGCAGCAGUGGGGAAUAUUGCACAAUGGGCGGAAGCCUGAUGCAGCAACGCCGCGUGCGGGAUGACGGCCUUCGGGUCGUAAACCUCUUUCGCCUGUGACGAAGCGUGAGUGACGGUAAUGGGUAAAGAAGCACCGGCUAACUACGUG